rnacentral:lncRNA from 1 species
UUCAGUGAUCCUUUCAGUGGAUGUUUUCUCAGCACUGUAUGUUGAGAGACGAUGAAGCAUGAAGGGCCACUGAACCAGUUCACAAGGAGGAUUACUAGCAACAUGCAGCUAAAGCUACACAUACACACCACGAGGUAGUUUUACAUGGAAUCCAUUUAUCUGAGAUAAUAAUUCCACCAUGAAACAGAUGAGAUAAAACCACCCUCCAGGAAUAUCCACCAAUCUGUAUGCAGGUGGCAGAGUGUGUCCUGAAGCAACCAGGUCUCUUAACUGUCUGGAGACGGGUCUCCAGGAAAUUCUUCUAUAGGGACUUCUGUUGACAUCUUAUUUACAGGAAGAUCACUGGGAUUUUUACAGUUGCUUGUGAUUAGACCAAGGUGUUAUCCCUGGCAUGGUGGACACAGCUCAAGACCCCCUUUGCAUUCCUCAUCAGCCCAGUGAGUGCUCACCGAGACACGCUCCGGACUUCCUUAAGCUCUAGUGCAUGAGAGGCUGACUGCCCGUGGAAGGAUCUAGCUCUCAGAUUUUGGUCUGCUCACCAACCUUACCAGUCCCUGAAUUCAUCUUAGAGGAGAGAAGGGCCAUUGAUGCUGGCUGCUAGGAUCCCUGGCAAGUGGCAGUGCUG